rnacentral:rRNA from 1 species
GACGAACCGAGCGAACGUUGUUCGGAAUCACUGGGCGUAAAGGGCGCGUAGGCGGCUUUAUAAGUCGGGGGUGAAAGCCUGUGGCUCAACCACAGAAUUGCCUUCGAUACUGUAGAGCUUGAGACCGGAAGAGGUAAGUGGAACUGCGAGUGUAGAGGUGAAAUUCGUAGAUAUUCGCAAGAACACCAGUGGCGAAGGCGGCUUACUGGUCCGGUUCUGACGCUGAGGCGCGAAAGCGUGGGGAGCAAACAGG